AAAUCUACACAGUACACAUAUAUCCAAUAUUCCAAUAUAUAUAGUAUAUAAGCCAUGAACUCCAAGCCAUUUUCUUUUUCUUUUAUACUUCUCUUGAUCACAACACUUCUUCUUUCACCCUUAACAUGUGCUCGAAAAUUGUCAGUUGCAGGAGACACAACGGCAAAGGGCCGUGUAGUAAGUUAUGGGAUGAUAUUGAGUCCGGCUUCCGCUCCGAAACCCAUAAUGUGUAAUCCUAAGAGUCACAACUGUUUUGGCAACCCAAGAGAUCCCCACCCACGAAGAUGCAGCGUCUACGAUCGCUACUGUAAACCCCCGGCCCCGGAGCCGUCCAAUUAAACGGCCGCCGCCCAGCUUUAAGAUGAAAAUAAAUAAGAAAGCAAAUUACAUGAGCACAAAAUCUCAACUUUAAUUUAUUGUACUGCUUUCUUAUAUAUAUUUGCUUAUCGCACUUAUUCCUCUCAUGUAUCUUUCCAUAUAUAUAAUUGUGCUUAGCUUGUCUACUAUGAAUAUUAAAUGUCUUCCAAUUA